UCCUGCCAAGGAAGCACGCUUUGGUCAUAGAUUAAGCCAUGCAAGUGUAAGUUCAGCUCUUCAAGGGCGAAACAGCGAACAGCUCAUUAAACUACUCAGAACCGAUAUGAUCUUACUCAUCCGUGAGUUUGUGUGGAUAACCGUGGAAAACCAGGGCUAAUACAUCAAUGCGCAAGCGUUUUUGGAGUUGCCAGAAGUGAAUUAUGGUGAAUUUCAUACUCCGCAAGGGGGCGAUCAUUCGGUUGAGUAACCUAUCAGCUUGUACCUGAGGUCUUUUCACAGGUAUGCUAUCACGGGUAACGGGCGGUAAUCGUCGUACUGCCGGAGAAGGCGCCUUAGAGAUCGCGACUAUGUCUACGGGCAGCAGCAGGCGCGAAACUUAUCCACUCGACGAUGUCGGAGGUGGUAAUGACCAGUUUCUUUCCCAUUAUGGGUAGGAAUAGGACCGCAUAUUUCAGCAUGCGGUGAAAUCUAGCAGAGGGCCAGUCUGGUGCCAGCAGCUGCGGUAAUUCCAGCUCUGCGAGUUUGCUCCCAUAUUGUUGCAGUUAAAACGCCCGUAGUCUACACUCUUCUAGUAAUGGAAGAUUUCUGCUAUCUCGGUAGCAGCGUUCACUGCGAACAAAUCAGGACGCUUAGAGUAGUUCAUCUGAAUGACUCAGCGCAGUAUGGAACCUUUUUUCAUUGAAGCGGAGCAAUCCGACUAUUUGGAAAAACGCAAAGAGAGCCACAGAGGGUGUAAGUAUUUCAUGGCGAACGGCGGAAUGUUUUUACCCAUGAGAGACUAGCGAAGGCGAAAGCAUACACCUAGGGGGUUUCUGUCGAUCAAGGGCGAAGGUAUGAGUAUCAAACCGGAUUAGAGACCCGGGUAGUUCAUACAGUAAACGAUGCCGACACACUGUUGUCUGUUUAAGCAGGCAGCGGUGUUUUGAAAAUAAAGUUCAUGGGCUCUGGGGGAACUACGACCGCAAGGCUGAAACUUGAAGGAAUUGACGGAAGGGCACACCAGGGGUGGAGCCUGUGGCUUAAUUUGAAUCAACACGGGGAAACUUACCAGGACCAGUUGUUUAUUAUGACUGACAGGCUUCAGGUCUUUCAGGAUAUGACUUUUGGUGGUGCAUGGCCGUUGGUGGUGCGUGGGUUGACCUGUCUAGCGUUGAUUCAGCUAACGAGCGAGAUUAUCGCCAAUUAACUACGUCUACAUGAUCCAUGUAGUAUGUUCUAAUUGGGACUCCCUGCGAUAAAGCAGGCGGAAGAGGGUAGCAAUAACAGGUCCGUGAUGUCCUUUAGAUGCUCUGGGCUGCACGCGUGCUACAAUGUUAGGAUCAAUAGGAAGCGACCUCGAAAGAGGAAGCCACUCCUCCAAUACCUAACGUAGUUGGG
rnacentral:rRNA from 1 species